rnacentral:sRNA from 2 species
AACUUUUGCAGGCCGAAGCUUCUUGUCAGAGGCGCGGGGGAACCAUCCUUUGGGGCGAAUUUCCGGCAGGUUAUUCAACCACCUCAACAUCCUGCCGGGAUAGGGCAAACCCGAGUCCGAGCCCGUCAGCUAACUCCGCAGGCUAUUACGGGUCCUAGG